UACGUAGGGAGCAAGCGUUGUCCGGAAUCAUUGGGCGUAAAGCGCGCGUGGGUGGCCUCGUAAGUCCGCUGUGAAAGUCAAAGGCUCAACCUUUGAAAGCCGGUGGAUACUGUGGGGCUAGAGUACGGAAGAGGCGAGUGGAAUUCCUGGUGUAGCGGUGGAAUGCGCAGAUAUCAGGAGGAACACCAAUAGCGAAGGCAGCUCGCUGGGACGUCACUGACACUGAGGCGCGAAAGCGUGGGGAGCGAACAGG
rnacentral:rRNA from 1 species